rnacentral:rRNA from 1 species
GACGAACGCUGGCGGCGUGCUUAACACAUGCAAGUCGAACGGUGAAAGCGGAGCUUGCUCCGCUGGAUCAGUGGCGAACGGGUGAGUAGCACGUGGGCAACCUGCCCCUCACUUCGGGAUAACUCCGGGAAACCGGGGCUAAUACCGGACAUGACCUCCUUGGGCAUCCUUGGAGGUGGAAAGUUUUUCGGUGAGGUAUGGGCCCGCGGCCUAUCAGCUUGUUGGUGAGGUAGUGGCUCACCAAGGCGACGACGGGUAGCCGGCCUGAGAGGGCGACGGGCCACACUGGGAUUGAGAGACGGCCCAGACGCCUACGGGAGGCAGGAGUGGGGAAUAUUGCGCAAUGGGCGGAAGCCUGACGCAGCAACGCCGCGUGCGGGAUGACGGCCUUCUGGUUGUAAACCGCUUUCAGCAGGGAAGAAGCCGCAAGGUGACGGUACCUGCAGAAGAAGCACCGGCUAACUACGUGCCAGCCGCCGCAGUAA